rnacentral:rRNA from 1 species
UACGAAGGGGGCUAGCGUUGUUCGGAAUCACUGGGCGUAAAGGGUGCGUAGGCGGGUUUUUAAGUCAGGGGUGAAAUCCUGGAGCUCAACUCCAGAACUGCCUUUGAUACUGAAGAUCUUGAGUCCGGGAGAGGUGAGUGGAACUGCGAGUGUAGAGGUGAAAUUCGUAGAUAUUCGCAAGAACACCAGUGGCGAAGGCGGCUCACUGGCCCGGUACUGACGCUGAGGCACGAAAGCGUGGGGAGCAAACAGGG